rnacentral:rRNA from 1 species
AUUGAACGCUAGCGGCAGGCCUAACACAUGCAAGUAGAGCGAGCGGUGGACGGGUGAGUAAUGUAUGGGGACUGCCCGAUAGAGGGGGAUAACUACUGGACACGGUAGCUAAUACCGCAUACUAUCGGAUAACCCAUAUGGGAUUAGCUAGUAGGUGAGGUAAUGGCUAACCUAGGCGACGAUCCCUAGCUGGUCUGAGAGGAUGAUCAGCCACACUGGGACGGAGACACGGCCCAGACUCCUACGGAGUCAGCAGUGGUGAAUAUUGCACAAUGGGCGCAAUCCUGCUGCAGCCAUGCCGCGUGUAUGAAUAAGGCCCUAGGGUUGUAAAGUACUUUCCGUCGGGAGGCGUUACCGACAGAAGAAGCACCGGCUAACUCCGUGCCAGCAGCCGCGGUAAUUC